rnacentral:rRNA from 1 species
CCUACGGGGGGCAGCAGUGAGGAAUAUUGGUCAAUGGUCGGGAGACUGAACCAGCCAAGCCGCGUGAGGGAUGAAGGUACAGAGUAUCGUAAACCUCUUUUGUCAGGGAACAAAGGCGGGGACGUGUCCCCGGAUGAGUGUACCUGAAGAAAAAGCAUCGGCUAACUCCGUGCCAGCAGCCGCGGUAAUACGGAGGAUGCGAGCGUUAUCCGGAUUUAUUGGGUUUAAAGGGUGCGCAGGCGGUCUGUUAAGUCAGCGGUCAAAGCCCGGGGCUCAACCCCGGCCCACCGUUGAAACUGGCAGUCUCGAGUUGGAGAGAAGUAUGCGGAAUGCGAGGUGUAGCGGUGAAAUGCAUAGAUAUCGCGCAGAACUCCGAUUGCGAAGGCAGCAUGCCGGCUCCACACUGACGCUGAGGCACGAAAGCGUGGGUAGCGAACAGGAUUAGAUACCCCAGUAGUC